UUAAUUGGGAGAUACCAUGAUCACGAAGGUGGUUUUCCCAGGGCGAGGCUCAUCCAUUGCACUGCGGGUGUGCUGACCCCUGCGAUUUCCCCAAAUGCAGGAAACUCGACUGCAUAAUUUGUGUUAGUGGGGGACUGCGUUCAUCCUCUCUCCUG
rnacentral:snRNA from 1 species